UACGAAGGUCCCAAGCGUUGUUCGGAAUCACUGGGCGUAAAGGGAGCGUAGGCGGCGUGGUAAGUCAGAUGUGAAAUCCCGGGGCUUAACCCCGGAACUGCAUUCGAUACUGCCAGGCUAGAGUACUGGAGAGGAGAUUGGAAUUUACGGUGUAGCAGUGAAAUGCGUAGAUAUCGUAAGGAAGACCAGUGGCGAAGGCGGAUCUCUGGACAGUUACUGACACUGAGGCACGAAGGCCAGGGGAGCAAACGGG
rnacentral:rRNA from 1 species